rnacentral:sRNA from 1 species
AAUGGGUAAUGCGGCCACCAGGUAGCGCCUUGGCGUGGGGACCCAGGGUGCGUGGGUUCGAAACCCACAGGGGACAACAUUACAUCUGGAGCCAACUUCUCAGCUUCUAAAAUAAUGGGAUGUGAACUUGCCAAGUAGGUACCUUCGGGCGGACCUACUACCUGAUUUAGCUUAUUGUUUCUGGGCUGGAAACCUGUAUUGCAUGUAUCAAUUCUGUCUUUCAUUAAUUUUCCUAUGUUCUUGUUAUUCUUGGCGCUGUUCAACACUAAGCAUUCCUCCGGUAUAACCAACUCUUGCCUGUAUUUAACAUCACACAAGGACUCGUCAUAAGCGCUGCUUGCAUACGAGUAUAACGGAAGAAUAAUAAUAAUAACAUACAGGUUGCUACAACCACAUUCAGUGUCAGAUAAGAAAUGACAUACAAUUAACAUGGACUUUAUUAAAGAUCUGCC